CAGGCCUAACACAUGCAAGUCGAACGGCAGCGCGGGGAGCUUGCUCCCUGGCGGCGAGUGGCGGACGGGUGAGUAACACGUGGGAAUCUGCCUGGUAGUGGGGGACAACUCGGGGAAACUCGGGCUAAUACCGCAUACGCCCUACGGGGGAAAGCGGGGGACCUUCGGGCCUCGUGCUAUCAGAUGAGCCCGCGGCCGAUUAGCUUGUUGGUGAGGUAACGGCUCACCAAGGCGACGAUCGGUAGCUGGUCUGAGAGGAUGAUCAGCCACACUGGGACUGAGACACGGCCCAGACGGCUACGGUCGGCAGCAGUAGGGAAUAUUGCACAAUGGGCGAAAGCCUGAUGCAGCCAUGCCGCGUGUGUGAAGAAGGCCUUAGGGUUGUAAAGCACUUUCAGUGGCGAAGAAAAAACCGGCGUUAAUACCGCCGGUCAUUGACGUUAACCACAGAAGAAGCACCGGCCAACUCCGUGCCAGCAGCCGCGGUAAUACGGAGGGUGCGAACGUUAAUCGGAAUUACUGGGCGUAAAGCGCGCGUAGGCGGUUUGUUAAGUGGGAUGUGAAAGCCCCGGGCUCAACCUGGGAACUGCGUUUCAAACUGGCAAACUAGAGUUCAGUAGAGGGAGGUGGAAUUUCCUGUGUAGCGGUGGAAUGCGUAGAUAUAGGAAAGAACACCAGUGGCGAAGGCGGCCUCCUGGACUGAAACUGACGCUCAUGUGCGAAAGCGUG
rnacentral:rRNA from 1 species